rnacentral:sRNA from 1 species
GCUGGGUGCAGUUGUGUACACCUGUAAUCCCAGCAACUUGGGAGGCUGAGAUGGGAGAAUCGCAAGUUCAAGGCUAAUCUGGGCAAGUUAGCAAGACCCUAUCUCAA